GUGCUUGCAUCGCAGCACAGAUACUAAAAUUGGAACACGGCAGAGAAGAUUUGCGUGACUCUUGCACAAGGAUGCCACACAAAUGUGUGAAGCGUUCCCUGAUUUU
ensembl:snRNA U6 U6 spliceosomal RNA